rnacentral:rRNA from 1 species
AGAGCGAACGCUGGCGGCAGGCUUAACACAUGCAAGUCGAGCGCCCCGCAAGGGGAGCGGCAGACGGGAGAGUAACACGUGGGAACGUACCUUUCGGUUCGGAACAACCCAGGGAAACUUGGGCUAAUACCGGAUACGUCCGUAAGGAGAAAGAUUUAUCGCCGAAAGAUCGGCCCGCGUCUGAUUAGCUAGUUGGUGAGGUAACGGCUCACCAAGGCGACGAUCAGUAGCUGGUCUGAGAGGAUGAUCAGCCUCACUGGGACUGAGACACGGCCCAGACUCCUACGGGAGGCAGCAGUGGGGAAUAUUGGACAAUGGGCGCAAGCCUGAUCCAGCCAUGCCGCGUGGGUGAUGAAGGCCCUAGGGUUGUAAAGCCCUUUCGGCGGGAAGAUAAUGACGGUACCCGCAGAAGAAGCCCGGCUAACUUCGCGCCAGCAGCCGC